AGAGUUUGAUCCUGGCUCAGGAUGAACGCUGGCGGCGUGCCUAAUACAUGCAAGUCGAUCGAAUGUAGUAAUACAUUAGAGGCGAACGGGUGAGUAACACGUUGGUAAUCUACCUUUCAGUUGGGGAUACCCAGAGGAAACUUUGGCUAAUACCGAAAUACGUAAUAGAGUGAAAUUCUUUAUUAUAAAAGGAGCAAUUGCUUCGCUGAUUGAUGAGCCUGCGUCUGAUUAGCUAGUUGGUGAGAUAAAAGCCCACCAAGGCGAGGAUCAGUAGCCGACCUGAGAGGGUGGACGGCCACAAUGGAACUGAGACACGGUCCAUACUCCUACGGGAGGCAGCAGUAGGGAGUUUUCGUCAAUGGGGGAAACCCUGAACGAGCAACGCCGCGUGAACGAUGAAGGUCUUCGGAUUGUAAAGUUCUGUUACGGAGGAUAAAUGGCUAGCUUAGUGGAAAGAAGCUAGUUUGAUAGUACUCCGCCAGAAAGCAACGACUAACUACGUGCCAGCAGUCGCGGUAAUACGUAGGUUGCAAGCGUUAUCCGGAAUUAUUGGGCGUAAAGAGUGAGCAGGCGGUCUAUUAAGUUUAAAGUCAAAUCGAUAGGCUUAACCUAUUCCCGCUUUAAAAACUGAUAGACUAGAGUAUGUGAGAGGUUGGUAGAACUCCAUGUGUAGCGGUGAAAUGCAUAGAUAUAUGGAAGAAUACCAGUGGCGAAGGCGGCCAACCAGCACAAUACUGACGCUCAGUCACGAAAGCGUAGGUAGCAAAUAGGAUUAGAUACCCUAGUAGUCUACGCCGUAAACGAUGAUUACUAAAUAUUCCCUUAAGGGAGUAAUGAAGCUAACGCAUUAAGUAAUCCGCCUGGGAAGUACGAUCGCAAGAUUGAAACUUAAAGGAAUUGACGGGGUCCCGCACAAGUAGUGGAGCAUGUGGUUUAAUUCGAAGCUACGCGAAAAACCUUACCAGGGCUUGACAUAGAGGUAAAAGUUCUAGAAAUAGAAUCAUAGUUAUAGCUCAUACAGGUGGUGCAUGGUUGUCGUCAGCUCGUGUCGUGAGAUGUUGGGUUAAGUCCCGCAACGAGCGCAACCCUUGUCCUUAGUUACUAACAUUUAGUUGAGAACUCUAGGGAGACUGCCGGUGUUAAACCGGAGGAAGGUGGGGAUGACGUCAAAUCAUCAUGCCCUUUAUGUCCUGGGCGACACACGUGCUACAAUGGCCAUUACAAAGAGCUGCGAUACUGCGAAGUAAAGCGAAUCUCGUAAAGAUGGCCUCAGUUCGGAUCGAAGUCUGCAACUCGACUUCGUGAAGCUGGAAUUACUAGUAAUCGUGAAUCAGACAUGUCACGGUGAAUACGUUCUCGGGGCUUGUACACACUGCCCGUCAAACCAUGAGAGUUGGUAAUACUUGAAGCCGUUAUCCUAACCGUAAGGAGGGAGACGUCUAAGGUAGGACUAAUGAUUGGGGUUAAGUCGUAACAAGGUAGCCGU
rnacentral:rRNA from 1 species